rnacentral:rRNA from 1 species
UUAGGUAAUGGAAAGCAGGUUAAUAUUCCUGCACUAGUAAGGAUGACGUUGAACGCAGGAAGGACGGAGAAGGGUCGCUGAGCCGCAGCAUGGUUUGCUCGGUUCAAACCGGUAGGCCGUCUCUUUAGGACCCCAACGUGGGACAAACGAAGAGACAUUAGGCUGAGAGGUCAUGAGGAGAGCUCUACGAGCUCACGAACUCAGUUAUCCCAGACUUCCAAGAAAAGUUCCGGCGUGAGUCACUUUACUGACCGUACCGCAAACCGACACAGGUGGGCAAGGAGAAUAUCCUAAGGCGUUUGAGAGAAGCCUCUCUAAGGAACUCGGCAUAAUGACACCGUAACUUCGGGAUAUGUGUGCCGACGGUAGGUGAUGUGCCUGCGCACAAAGCCCAAGUCGGUUGCAGUGAAACGGGGGUAGCGACUGUUUACCAAAAACACAGCACUCUGCAAACUCGUAAGAGGAUGUAUAGGGUGUGAUGCCUGCCCGGUGCCGGAAGGUUAAGAGGAGGAGUCAGCCGCAAGGCAAAGCCCCGAAUCGAAGCCCCGGUAAACGGCGGCCGUAACGAUAACGGUCCUAAGGUAGCGAAAUUCCUUGUCGGGUAAGUUCCGACCUGCACGAAUGGCAUAACGACUUCCCCACUGUCUCGGAGAGGCCCUCAGCGAAGUAGCACUAGGGGUGAAGAUACCCUUUUACCCGCGGCAGGACGGAAAGACCCCGUGAACCUUUACUGUAACUUGGCACUGAUUUUCGGGUUAGCUUGCGUAGGAUAGGUGGGAGGCUAUGAAGCCGGGAUUCCGGUCUCGGCAGAGCCAACCUUGAAAUACCACCCUGGCUAACCUAAAAAUCUAACUCGCUUCCGUAAUCCGGAAGGAGGACAAUGCCUGGUGGGCAGUUUGACUGGGGCGGUCGCCUCCCAAAAAGUAACGGAGGCGCGCGAAGGUUCCCUCAGCCUGAUUGGAAACCAGGCGAAGAGUGUAAUGGCAUAAGGGAGCUUGACUGCGAGACAAACAAGUCGAGCAGGUGCGAAAGCAGGUCAUAGUGAUCCGGUGGUCCUGUAUGGAAAGGCCAUCGCUCAACGGAUAAAAGGUACUCCGGGGAUAACAGGCUUAUCACGCCCAAGAGUUCACAUCGACGGCGUGGUUUGGCACCUCGAUGUCGGCUCAUCGCAUCCUGGGGCUGAAGUAGGUCCCAAGGGUUCGGCUGUUCGCCGAUUAAAGCGGUACGCGAGCUGGGUUCAAAACGUCGUGAGACAGUUUGGUCCCUAUCCGCCGUGGGCGCAGGAGACUUGAGAGGAGCUAACCUUAGUACGAGAGGACCGGGUUGGACUGACCUCUAGUGUUCCGGUUGUGGCACCAGCCGCAUCGCCGGGUAGCUACGUCGGGAAUGGAUAACCGCUGAAAGCAUCUAAGCGGGAAGCCAACCUCAAGAUUAGGUCUCCCAGGUCGUAAGACCCUAAAGGCCCCUCGUAGACCACGAGGUAAUAGGCUGGGUGUGGAAGCGUAGUAAUACGUGAAGCUGACCAGUACUAAUCGGCCGUGCGGCUUGACCAC